CCUACGGGGAGCAGCAGUCGAGAAUCAUUCACAAUGGGGGAAACCCUGAUGGUGCGACGCCGCGUGGGGGAAUGAAGGUCUUCGGAUUGUAAACCCCUGUCAUGUGGGAGCAAAUUAAAAAGAUAGUACCACAAGAGGAAGAGACGGCUAACUCUGUGCCAGCAGCCGCGGUAAUACAGAGGUCUCAAGCGUUGUUCGGAAUCACUGGGCGUAAAGUGUGCGUAGGCUGUUUCGUAAGUCGUGGGUGAAAGGCGCGGGCUCAACCCGCGGACGGCACAUGAUACUGCGAGACUAGAGUAAUGGAGGGGGAACCGGAAUUCUCGGUGUAGCAGUGAAAUGCGUAGAUAUCGAGAGGAACACUCGUGGCGAAGGCGGGUUCCUGGACAUUAACUGACGCUGAGGCACGAAGGCCAGGGGAGCGAAAGGGAUUAGAUACCCCAGUAGUC
rnacentral:rRNA from 1 species